UACGGAGGAUCCAAGCGUUAUCCGGAAUCAUUGGGUUUAAAGGGUCCGUAGGCGGUUUAGUAAGUCAGUGGUGAAAGCCCAUCGCUCAACGGUGGAACGGCCAUUGAUACUGCUAGACUUGAAUUAUUGUGAAGUAACUAGAAUAUGUAGUGUAGCGGUGAAAUGCUUAGAUAUUACAUGGAAUACCAAUUGCGAAGGCAGGUUACUAACAAUAUAUUGACGCUGAUGGACGAAAGCGUGGGGAGCGAACAGG
rnacentral:rRNA from 1 species